GGUUUAAUUCGAUGAUACGCGAGGAACCUUACCCGGGCUUGAAUUGCAGAGGAAGGAUUUGGAGACAAUGACGCCCUUCGGGGUCUCUGUGAAGGUGCUGCAUGGUUGUCGUCAGCUCGUGCCGUGAGGUGUCGGCUUAAAGUGCCAUAACGAGCGCAACCCCUCUCCUUAGUUGCCAUCAGUUGAAGCUGGGCACUCUGGGGACACUGCCACCGUAAGGUGUGA
rnacentral:rRNA from 1 species